CUAAUUUCAUUGGUGUUCGGUUUCUUGCCUUCUUUCCCGUUAACACAUGUAUUGCAUUCUCAUUCUCUCUACCUAUAGUUCUUUUUCUUUUUUGCUGCUGAUAAUUCCCCAAGUUUCCAUUUCAAUCUCCUUGUUUCCAUAAAAUCGUUUCCAGAUUUGUCCUAAGAUAAUUUAUGAUCUCAAAUUGAAGAUGUUGAGAUGGAGAAAGAUGGACUCAUGUCAAGUUUGAAGCUUCAUUAAUAAUUGUAUCACAAGUUUUCUAUAUAUAAUUAGCAAGAUUGUACAAAAAUUCCAGCGUUUGAUUAUGGUACUGGAAUGAAGUGAUUCUCAAUUGUUUAU